AGGACGAACGCUGGCGGCGCGCUUAACACAUGCAAGUCGAGCGAGAACCGGGGCUUCGGCCCCGGGGACAGCGGCGAACGGGUGAGUAACACGUGGAUAACCUGCCCUCGGCACCGGGAUAGCCCGGGGAAACCCGGAUUAAUACCGGAUGGCCCUUCCGACUUUCGAGUCGGUCGGCAAAGGUAGCUUCGGCCUCCGGCCGAGGAUGGGUCCGCGGCGGAUUAGCUUGUUGGUGGGGUAAUGGCCUACCAAGGCUCCGAUCCGAGCUGGUCUGAGAGGACGAUCAGCCACACUGGGACUGAGACACGGCCCAGACUUCGUACGGGAGGCAGCAGGUGGGGAAUCGUGCGACAAGUGGGACGAAAGCCCUGGACGCGAGCGACGCCGCGUGGAGGGACGACGGUCCUUCGGGUAGUAAACCUUCGUUACGACGGGUA
rnacentral:rRNA from 1 species